UCCCUGGUGGCUCAGAUGGUAAAGAAUCUGCCUGCAAUGUGGGAGAUCCAGGUUCAAUCCCUGGGUCGGGGAG
rfam:TPA: Bos taurus chromosome 5, whole genome shotgun sequence.